CCCGCUGAAAGAUUGAGCCCCCGUUAUUUAUAUACAAGUACUCUACUCAUUCACUGAAGAUCUGUUAAGUCCCAAAUUAGCCCCAUUCAUCCUUGAUGGUUAUGUAAAUAUCCAAAGUAUUGUUUUUAUAAAUGUUUUUGAACUGAAAAGUUCAUAAUAAAGUGUUUAACCAUUAUUAAAUUACUAGAAAUUACUGAAAAAGUUAAAAUUGUAAAAUUUCCUUCCCUUUUCCUUCAAAAUGUCCGAAUUUCCUUCCAAUUUCCUUCCAAUUUCAUUCCAAAUCUUAUUUCCUUUUAUUUUUCCUUCCAAAUGUCAAAAUAUCCUUUUGGAAGGAAAUUUCCUUCCGAGUGGAAGCUCUGCUUAUGGGAGCAUUGCGCUUUACUGUGUCACGCCCAUUUUUACGAGAACACGGCCAUUUUCUAUUGGGACACACCCAUUUUAGGUGCCUCGCGAAUGUAGGGCCCCUAGGCUUGGAAGUUGGCCCCAGCACGGCCCCGGGAAGAUAUGCAAUACUCGUGUGCAUAUAAUCUCCAGUUGCGUUGAGCUGUUAUAUUAUGAUCCUGUUUAUACAUGUUGACCCAACAACUGGGCCAGGC